GGACCAGCACACAUUAUCUCUUUGGCAUCAGCCACAGUCUUGAAUUUCACAAUGUAGUACCCUUCGUCAUGAUAGAACAAAUCUGGUUCGGGGACUUGAGACCAGUGAUGACUAAUGAAUCUUCUCAUUGCAUUGAAGCCAGGACCGUCACCCAGAAUGUACACAACUAAGGCACACUUCCAUUUAGCUUCCUCCUCCUCUACUUCAGUUUUUUCCAG
rnacentral:lncRNA from 1 species